AAAAAAAAUAACUAAGGCUAAAGCACAGGAGCGCUGACAGAAAAAAGAAAGCAGAGCAAAUAUUGAAAGCACUCAAAGGGAGGGAAAUACAGGAAAAAAAGAGGAGGACUAAUAAAAAGGGAAAAUAACUCAUGUCAGAAGAGGGGAGCGUUUCGCAAAUCCAAUUAAAGAUAAGAUUGUCGAAAAUUUAGUGUAAGGGGCCCCAUGUCUGUGUUCGCCUUGGGCCCCCAAAUUGCUAAAUCCGCCCCUGGGCAGCCCUGUGGAUCUCCGACCGAUGCAGAGGAGUGGAGCAUGGGCUCAUGCGGCCCGACUCCGAUUGCUGCUGCCUGAGGCUGUUCAUGUCGCCUGUAGAGCUCUCUGAGGGAAACCACAGAAACUCUGCAGCUGGGUGAAUUGAUGUGUGCUUCAUGUUAGAGUCGCUCAACUACUUAAAAUAACUGAAAACAUUUCUAAUAAAGUUUUGGUAUCAGGCGUGGCAUAUGUCAGAAGUUUGAAUGCAACAUCUGUGAGAGAAAAACUGUAAAACUUGCCUUCGGCAUUCAGACAUCAAUUGCGAUCGCUUCACAGGUGAACAGGACACGGUUAAAAAAAUUAAAAAGUUGCUCAACUGUCUUUUUUUGGCUUAAAGUGCCCACAAACCCUUGUUAGCUUUGGUUAGCUCAGUUAGCUUUUAGCUGUGAGCAAUGACCAAGGCCGGAUUAACCAUAUGGGCAACUGGGCAAUUGCCCAGGGCCCACAAACUCUAAAGGGCCCAGGGCAGCAAGGGCACGAGCAAAUUGCUGUAUCUGUAAUCUCCCGCUUUAUAUUAAACUAGUGUGACUGUACGUCCUGUUUUCCCCGGACAUGUCCGCUUUUCACUCUGUCCGGGAUGUCCGGGUUCUUGUAUUGAUGAAAAUGUCCGGCUUUUCAUCCAGGAGCAGGGAUGGGGGAGCUGUAUAUCCUACAUUCAGGGGAGCCGGAAAAAAGUUUUCUACCUAUAUUACUAUAUUAUCAUUCAUGGACUCUUUUCAGCAGAGAGCGGCAGAGCGAUGAUCGGUGCGCAACACUCCAGGCUGCUGCGUCCAGCGCACGGUCCAUUCUCAAAGUGGUGCAACCAAAAAAGUAUAAUUAACACACGAUCGUUCAUGUCUGCACAUGUUCUCUACUUUCUGUCUUAUUUGUGCUUGAAGCGCUCUGCCACUGCGGAGCUCAUCACCUGUGCUGCGGUGAUUUCACCUCACUGACGCAUCGAAACGCGCUAUCCGCUUUGCAGUCAGGAGAUCCCUUUGAUCUGCUCAAAAGUAACUGAUGAGGUGAAAAAGUAAGAAUCCAGGCAGCAGCUUUUCUGGAGAGUUUAGAGGAGAUGCAGGAAGAUGAGAGACAGACAGGACAGGAAAAUAGUUAAAUAAAAACAAGAAAACAAAACAAAGUGUUGAAAAGUAAAAUGUAGGUAGAUUUAUCUCCACUACACGUUUUUACCAGUAAAAAACAAUAAGUUAUACACAUGUCAUAUUUAUACAUCUGAUACAAUUCAGAUCACCUUCAAAACUCAGUCACACACCCAGGGCUGUUUCAAGGCAUUUUGGGGGCCAAGGCAAAACAGACCCCCCCCAUAACUGGGCUCCCCAGAAGCCUCUGUGUAAUUCAUACCCUGUCCAGUAGUAUUAGUUAUACAGUGUUUAUAAAAGCCCCUCAGACAUUACUGACAUGUUCUAAUAUUAUCAGAUGAAAAACUAAAUUAUCAGACAUGCUGUUUCAUCUGCUUCUUUUCUAAACUUGCAAAAAGUAACAAAACCAUUUGAAAGCCACUAUUUGUGGAUUCUCUGAAAGUUUCCAUGGAGUGUGUGACAACUUAUUUUUUCAUUGAUCCUAUCGUCUAAUCUCACAGCUGAAACAAGCAUCCUUGAUAAUCUGUGCACAGGAAGCGUACCGAUGCUGUAGUAAAACAAAAGUUAUAAUUUAUUGUUAAAACCUUGUUGCAGCACUAAAGCAGAAAAAUGAGAUUUUGCAGUAAAUAUGCUAAGUAUUUAUUGUUUUAGAGCCCUUUUAUUGGCAGAAUCUGAUAAAUUUAGUUCUUACAAAAAAAUGGGUCCCAGCUUUGUGUGGCGUUGCCAUAGUGUGAUGUCAUAGGCACAGAUCCCCUGUCCUCUUGUUUGGAAAUGGAAAUAUGAUCACCCUGUAUUAAACAAACUGUCCACCCGGGCUUUUGCGCUGCACAGAGAAGCUUCGCUGCCUAUGACUUUGAACGUCAGUUGAGAGUCAGUCUCUUGUAGACUGACCAAUGAAGAGAGGGCCUCAAGUUAAGACCAUCUCCUCAUUGGUCAGUCCACACAAGGUGGGUCAAAGGUUACCCUGAGAGGGUUACGUGAAGUCAGGCAUUCAAGUAUUGAGUAUAUUUACUGCAUAUUACAGUAAAAUAUUCUGUAUGUGACCAUAUUAUGGUGAUCCUUGGGUCGUGAUGAUGGGGCCCUUGAAUAUUGUUGCCCAGGGUACAACGAA
ensembl:lncRNA